AUCUUUAUGUUUUAUUACGCUCACACAUUUUCUUAUCUAUGCAUAUAAGUUGAUAUUUGGGGCGUAUAAAUAGAGACGUAGAUUGCCUUUGUUUAAGCAUUCUUAACUCUCCAAACACUUUUAUCCAAGAUUGUUCACUUUGAUUUAAAAAACAAAAAUCGAAUAUGGGUUCGGUUUGCAAGAGUUUUCUCAUGCUUGCUGUUUUAUCUGUGAUUGUUCUUUCCAUUUCUUCGGAAGUGGUAGCUAGAGACCUUACUGAAACAAACAACGGUAAGGCGGCUACCCAGAAAACAAAGGCUGAGCUAGGAGCUGCCAAAUUUGGAGGGGGCCAAACUGAUCAAGAUUAUCCACCAAGAUAUUGCUUACCACCCCCCUAUAGCUGCUAGUUUAUAACGGAAAAGGAAGCGAAGGUGCUGGCGCGCGAGGCGGUGGAUUCUGAAACUCACGCAAUCCUCACUUUUACUUACCCUUUGCAUAUUGCCUGUAUCUAAAUAAAUUAAUUGAUCUAUAUAUAGCAUAUCCUACAAUUUGCAGUAUCCUAAACUAAAAGGCUUCUUUCCUCGGACAUAUAUUAUAUCAAGAAAUUUAAAUUAAUAAAUUUUUGCUUUCUGAUGA